AACCCAUGGUGGGGGCACUAUUGAAGCAAGCUCUUGAAACAAUCCCAAAACUUAAACAAAGAUUCCUCAUCCUUUUGCAUGAAGUUGGUAAUCAAGUAUCUCAUAUGGGU